rnacentral:tRNA from 1 species
UGAAGGUGUGGCGCACGGAUCCGGGCAGGCGCUUCCAGCGCGCGUCGAGGGGCGCGUCGAGGAGCGCGCGGGCGGGAUCGUAGUCCGGCGCCCACGG